rnacentral:miRNA from 1 species
CCAGCAAGUGUGCAGGGCACAGGUGACAAGCCAGGCAGGCACACAGUAGGUGGUGACACAUUUCUGCCAAGACGGGGAGAGGGU